ACUGGCAGCUGCUGUAGCUCUGCAAUACACAUGGUUGUCCACUAAAGCUAAGCAGGGCUGCACCUGGUCAGAACCUGGAUGGAAGUACACAUAGGAAUACAUGGUUGCUGCUAGAA
rnacentral:rRNA from 1 species